GAGACAGGAGCCCAACCCUGGAUUCCCAGGUGUUCCUCGAAUCUUGUCAGGACAGAACACAGACCACUCAUCAUGGAGUUUGGUUUCAUCUGGGUUUUCCUUGUUGCUGUUUUAACAGGUGUCCAGUGUGAAGUGCAGCUGGUGGAGUCUGGGGGAGGCUUGGUGAAGCCUGGGGGGUCUCUGAGACUUACCUGUGCAGUCUCUGGAUUCACCAUCAGUAGUAGGUACUGGAUGCACUGGGUCCGCCAGGCUCCAGGGAAGGGACUGGAAUGGAUCUCAGCAAUUGCUGGUAGUAGCACAUACUAUGCCGACUCUGUGAAGGGCCGAUUCACCAUCUCCAGAGACAAUGGCAAGAACGAGCUCUACCUGCAAAUGAACAGCCUGAGACCUGAGGACACAGCCAUAUAUUACUGUGGGAGUGACACGGUGAGGGGAAGUCUGUGUGAGCCCAGACACAAACCUCUCUGA